UUAGCUAUUUUAGAUAGGUUUGUAUUCAUAUUCAUUAUGGGUACAAACGAAAAGUAUGUUUGUAUCUAUGAUGGCUAAAGCAUUUAAUCUUGCAUACACUAGCCACGUAGAGAUCGCAACAAUCUACAGUGGCUUUUUUCUUUUAACGUACACUUUGAUUGUUGUAGACAUUUAAA
rnacentral:ncRNA from 1 species